rnacentral:rRNA from 1 species
CAGUAGCCGCGGUAAUACGUAGGGUGCAAGCGUUGCUCGGAAUUACUGGGCGUAAAGGGCGCGUAGGCGGACAGUUCAGUCAGGGGUGAAAGCCCGGGGCUCAACCUCGGAAUUGCCUCUGAUACUGGCUGUCUUGAGUACGGGAGAGGUGUGUGGAACUCCGAGUGUAGAGGUGAAAUUCGUAGAUAUUCGGAAGAACACCAGUGGCGAAGGCGACACACUGGCCCGUUACUGACGCUGAUGCGCGAAAGCGUGGGGAGCAAACAGGAUUAGAUACCCCUGUAGUCCCUGUCUCUUAUAC